rnacentral:rRNA from 1 species
UACGUAGGGUGCAAGCGUUGUCCGGAAUUAUUGGGCGUAAAGAGCUCGUAGGCGGUCUGUCACGUCGGCUGUGAAAACUUGGGGCUCAACUCCGGGCCUGCAGCCGAUACGGGCAGACUAGAGUUCGGCAGGGGAGACUGGAAUUCCUGGUGUAGCGGUGAAAUGCGCAGAUAUCAGGAGGAACACCGGUGGCGAAGGCGGGUCUCUGGGCCGAAACUGACGCUGAGGAGCGAAAGCGUGGGGAGCAAACAGG